GGUGAGAUGGCCGAGCGGUCUAAGGCGCCAGACUAAGGAGAUCAACUGGUUCAGUUCGACACAUCUGGUCCGAAAGGGCGUGGGUUCGAAUCCCACUCUCAUCA